rnacentral:rRNA from 1 species
UUAAGCGACUAAGCGUACACGGUGGAUGCCCUGGCAGUCAGAGGCGAUGAAGGACGUGCUAAUCUGCGAAAAGCGUCGGUAAGGUGAUAUGAACCGUUAUAACCGGCGAUGUCCGAAUGGGGAAACCCAGUGCAAUUCGUUGCACUAUCGUUAACUGAAUACAUAGGUUAACGAGGCGAACCGGGGGAACUGAAACAUCUAAGUACCCCGAGGAAAAGAAAUCAACCGAGAUUCCCCCAGUAGCGGCGAGCGAACGGGGAGCAGCCCAGAGUCUGAAUCAGCUUGUGUGUUAGUGGAACGGUCUGGAAAGUCCGACGGUACAGGGUGAUAGUCCCGUACACCAAAAUGCACAGGCUGUGAACUCGAAGAGUAGGGCGGGACACGUGGUAUCCUGUCUGAAUAUGGGGGGACCAUCCUCCAAGGCUAAAUACUCCUGACUGACCGAUAGUGAACCAGUACCGUGAGGGAAAGGCGAAAAGAACCCCGGCGAGGGGAGUGAAAAAGAACCUGAAACCGUGUACGUACAAGCAGUGGGAGCACCUUCGGGUGUGACUGCGUACCUUUUGUAUAAUGGGUCAGCGACUUAUAUUCUGUAGCAAGGUUAACCGUAUAGGGGAGCCGCAGGGAAACCGAGUCUUAACUGGGCGUUAAGUUGCAGGGUAUAGACCCGAAACCCGGUGAUCUAGCCAUGGGCAGGUUGAAGGUUGGGUAACACUAACUGGAGGACCGAACCGACUAAUGUUGAAAAAUUAGCGGAUGACUUGUGGCUGGGGGUGAAAGGCCAAUCAAACCGGGAGAUAGCUGGUUCUCCCCGAAAGCUAUUUAGGUAGCGCCUCGUGAAUUCAUCUUCGGGGGUAGAGCACUGUUUCGGCUAGGGGGUCAUCCCGACUUACCAACCCGAUGCAAACUACGAAUACCGAAGAAUGUUAUCACGGGAGACACACGGCGGGUGCUAACGUCCGUCGUGAAGAGGGAAACAACCCAGACCGCCAGCUAAGGUCCCAAAGUCAUGGUUAAGUGGGAAACGAUGUGGGAAGGCACAGACAGCCAGGAUGUUGGCUUAGAAGCAGCCAUCAUUUAAAGAAAGCGUAAUAGCUCACUGGUCGAGUCGGCCUGCGCGGAAGAUGUAACGGGGCUAAACCAUGCACCGAAGCUGCGGCAGCGACACUAUGUGUUGUUGGGUAGGGGAGCGUUCUGUAAGCCUGCGAAGGUGACCUGUGAGGGUUGCUGGAGGUAUCAGAAGUGCGAAUGCUGACAUAAGUAACGAUAAAGCGGGUGAAAAGCCCGCUCGCCGGAAGACCAAGGGUUCCUGUCCAACGUUAAUCGGGGCAGGGUGAGUCGACCCCUAAGGCGAGGCCGAAAGGCGUAGUCGAUGGGAAACAGGUUAAUAUUCCUGUACUUGGUGUUACUGCGAAGGGGGGACGGAGAAGGCUAUGUUAGCCGGGCGACGGUUGUCCCGGUUUAAGCAUGUAGGCUGAUUGUCCAGGCAAAUCCGGAUAAUCAAGGCUGAGGUGUGAUGACGAGGCACUACGGUGCUGAAGUAACAAAUGCCCUGCUUCCAGGAAAAGCCUCUAAGCAUCAGGUAACAUUAAAUCGUACCCCAAACCGACACAGGUGGUCAGGUAGAGAAUACCAAGGCGCUUGAGAGAACUCGGGUGAAGGAACUAGGCAAAAUGGUGCCGUAACUUCGGGAGAAGGCACGCUGGUGUGUAGGUGAAGUCCCUGCGGAUGGAGCUGAGACCAGUCGAAGAUACCAGCUGGCUGCAACUGUUUAUUAAAAACACAGCACUGUGCAAACACGAAAGUGGACGUAUACGGUGUGACGCCUGCCCGGUGCCGGAAGGUUAAUUGAUGGGGUUAUCCGUAAGGAGAAGCUCUUGAUCGAAGCCCCGGUAAACGGCGGCCGUAACUAUAACGGUCCUAAGGUAGCGAAAUUCCUUGUCGGGUAAGUUCCGACCUGCACGAAUGGCGUAAUGAUGGCCAGGCUGUCUCCACCCGAGACUCAGUGAAAUUGAACUCGCUGUGAAGAUGCAGUGUACCCGCGGCAAGACGGAAAGACCCCGUGAACCUUUACUAUAGCUUGACACUGAACAUUGAGCCUUGAUGUGUAGGAUAGGUGGGAGGCUUUGAAGCGUGGACGCCAGUCUGCGUGGAGCCAACCUUGAAAUACCACCCUUUAAUGUUUGAUGUUCUAACGUUGGCCCCUUACCGGGGUUGCGGACAGUGUCUGGUGGGUAGUUUGACUGGGGCGGUCUCCUCCCAAAGCGUAACGGAGGAGCACGAAGGUUAGCUAAUCCUGGUCGGACAUCAGGAGGUUAGUGCAAUGGCAUAAGCUAGCUUGACUGCGAGCGUGACGGCGCGAGCAGGUGCGAAAGCAGGUCAUAGUGAUCCGGUGGUUCUGAAUGGAAGGGCCAUCGCUCAACGGAUAAAAGGUACUCCGGGGAUAACAGGCUGAUACCGCCCAAGAGCUCAUAUCGACGGCGGUGUUUGGCACCUCGAUGUCGGCUCAUCACAUCCUGGGGCUGAAGUAGGUCCCAAGGGUAUGGCUGUUCGCCAUUUAAAGUGGUACGCGAGCUGGGUUUAGAACGUCGUGAGACAGUUCGGUCCCUAUCUGCCGUGGGCGCUGGAGAAUUGAGGGGGGCUGCUCCUAGUACGAGAGGACCGGAGUGGACGCAUCACUGGUGUUCGGGUUGUCAUGCCAAUGGCACUGCCCGGUAGCUAAAUGCGGAAGAGAUAAGUGCUGAAAGCAUCUAAGCACGAAACUUGCCCCGAGAUGAGUUCUCCCUGAGACUUUAAGUCUCCUGAAGGAACGUUAAAGACGAUGACGUUGAUAGGCCGGGUGUGUAAGCGCAGCGAUGCGUUGAGCUAACCGGUACUAAUGAACCGUGAGGCUUAACCU